rnacentral:piRNA from 1 species
GGGGCGGCGGCGGCGGUGGCGGUGGC